rnacentral:rRNA from 1 species
ACACGACUACAUUAGAUACCCCUGUAGUCCCAGCCCUAAACGAUGCGCGUUAGGUGUAUCGGUGACCACGAGUCACCGAGGUGCCGAAGGGAAACCGUGAAACGUGCCGCCUGGGAAGUACGGUCGCAAGGCUGAAACUUAAAGGAAUUGGCGGGGAGCACCACAACGGGUGGAGCCUGCGGUUUAAUUGGACUCAACGCCGGGAAGCUCACCGGAUAAGACAGCGGAAUGAUUGCCAGGCUGAAGACCCUGCAUGACCAGCUG